UACGAAGGGGGCUAGCGUUGCUCGGAAUCACUGGGCGUAAAGGGUGCGUAGGCGGGUCUUAAGUCAGGGGUGAAAUCCUGGAGCUCAACUCCAGAACUGCCUUCGAUACUGGCGAUCUUGAGUCCGGAAGAGGUGAGUGGAACUCCUAGUGUAGAGGUGGAAUUCGUAGAUAUUAGGAAGAACACCAGUGGCGAAGGCGGCUCACUGGUCCGGUACUGACGCUGAGGUGGCG
rnacentral:rRNA from 1 species